rnacentral:misc_RNA from 1 species
GGUUUUUUAUUAAUUUGGUUUUAAAGAAGGAAUUUAAGUUUUAGAUAAGUAAAUUUUUAAUUUGUUGUUUUUAAAGUAUGGAAAUGAAGUUGGGUUAAUAUUUAAUUUUUGUUGUUAGAGAGGUUUUUUUCGUUAGUAGAUAAAAAUUUUUUUGUUUAAUUUAGUAAUGUUUUGUAGUUUUUUGGAUAUGGUUGAUUUGAAUUG